UUUUUCUUAGUUGAGCAGAGCUGAUGGCAGUGAAACACUGAAACAUUUCUGAUUUCACUUUGUGAUGUCGGAGGAGAAGCUGAAGUCCAGACAACACCAGAGGGUUUUCUGGCCGUGCCAAAAUGAGGCCCUGUGAUGGAUGCCAUCUUGGAAGCAUCACAGAUCAGCACAUACCUGAGACUGGAGCGACCAGCUGCUCUAGUUUCACAGAGCGCCUCAUCAGUGCAGACUUCAGCCAUCACCACAAACCUACAAAUGAUGACCUGCAGAUUGAUGCGGCGGAGUUUUCCACGAUUCUUUAUCUGCUGAUGAAUCACAACCAGGACCCGUUAAACUUUAAAUUGGAGAAUAAAAUCGUCAAAAAUGCUUGCGUGAGAACCAACAGUAAGGGACUGGACGUAAAAUUCUAGACUCCACCCUCAGCAUUAAAGUUAUGACAUUAUCAGCCGGAGAAUAGUCACGAAUCCUAGGAAGGUGUUCCCUCGAUGGAAAACCUUGGAUCCAAAAUGAAGUUAUUGGACCACAAUUCUUCCAACUCACCUGCAUCGAAGUCAUGCUAAUGAUUUCCAUUAACAGCUGGCUGCUGUUGGUUACUUUAUUUGGAAUUCCCAAUAAGAAUUUUGUUUCCUUCCAUAUUUUUACCUUUUUGUUUCAAUGAUGUGAUUAUUUUUCUUCAUAAAGUCUUUUUUCCAGUGAAGAAUAUCCAUUGACUUAUACACACACAUGAUAUAUACACACACGUUUGCUUACCACAGGAGUGCACAAAGCAAGUUUGGUAUAGCCAGUGAGAUACUUGGCUCAAAAUAAACUAAAACCGUUCAGUUCUAAAAUGUAAAACGUUGACCUAAUAGACGCUUUCAACUGCUCCUUUAUUUCCACAGAAGUCCCAAAACAGAUGGGUCCACAUCACUUGGCACAGAAUUUAUGAUGCAACCUCCCAUUUGUCUGGGCUUAAAGUCCACAAACCUGGCUUAAUGUUUCAUUCACUAUGACCUGAAAUAAGCAAAUCAGCCCAUUAACUCUCCAGGAAACAAUUUACAGAGGUCAAGGCAGACAGAUAUUUAGCCAGGAGCUUAUGGUUUUUUUUUUGUUUGUGUUUUUUGCAACCAUAACUAUCGCUCCCUGGUGGCAUGCAAGAAAAAAUAUAGGUUUAGGGCACUUUGCAUUGGCUUCACCUUUCAAACCUGGAGUUUAAAAAAGAGACUAAAGAGGACAUUUAAAGCACCAGCUGAGUCUCCAUCAGCACAAAAAGAAACUAUUGAUUGCCCCCACUUCAGUCAGAGACGUCACAGAGAAGCUUGCAGUGAAAGGAAACACUGCAAAUACCUGAACUCUGUUACUCACGUGAAUUCAGGUGUUAACCUAUUUGUUUUGUGAAAUUACAUACAAUUCAUUAUGAUCUUGGGGGAUAAAAAUCCUACAAGUAAUAUUUUUUUUCUCAUUUGUGCUGUUAGCUGAAAUUCCAGCAAUAAACACAUUUAGCAGCUAAUCAGCAGUGAUGAAAAGAUGCAAGUGUUGCACUCGACAACCCAUUAAUGUGGCCUUGUGGCACACCCGUAUGCUGCCACCAUCUUUACAUCAUCAAACACUUCAAAACAAAUGCUGGGCACAAAAUUUCAACUGUGGAAAUCUAAUGUGCAUUUUUUGUAUCUGUAACAGUAUAGACUGAACUGAAGAAAUUAUCGACGGUGGGACUGAGUAUGUGUGUUGUGCAUCACAAUGUUUUGUUCAAUUUUGAUAACACCAGUAAGUUUUUCUUAUGUUAGCGUUUUUUAAAAACAUUUUUUUAACUCUUUCUCUCCUUUGAAAUUUGUAAUUUUUUAAACCUAAGUAAGCUAUGAGAGCAGUUGUAUGAGCUGCAGUUUUUGUUUUCUGUUAUUCAACUGAAUGAAAGAGUUUUUUGAUUAAAGUAAGACAUGUUUUCAACAGUAGAUGAGUCGAUGUGGACUUUUAACUGGACUGCUAGGAUGAGUCAGGAUGUUGGGUUAAAUUUGAUUUGGAAAAUAACUAAAGCUGUCAAAUAAUGUA